GAUGAACGCUGGCGGCGUGCUUAACACAUGCAAGUCGAACGAUGAAGCCCAGCUUGCUGGGUGGAUUAGUGGCGAACGGGUGAGUAACACGUGAGUAACCUGCCCUUAACUCUGGGAUAAGCCUGGGAAACUGGGUCUAAUACCGGAUAGGAGCGCCUACCGCAUGGUGGGUGUUGGAAAGAUUUAUCGGUUUUGGAUGGACUCGCGGCCUAUCAGCUUGUUGGUGAGGUAAUGGCUCACCAAGGCGACGACGGGUAGCCGGCCUGAGAGGGUGACCGGCCACAGGGGGACUGAGACACGGCCCGGACUCCUGGGGGGGACAGCAGGGGGGAAUAUUGAACAAGGGGCGAAGGCAUGAUGCAGCGACGCCGGGGGGGGGAUGACGGCCUUGGGGUUUUAACCCUCUUUCAGGGGGGAAGAAGCGAAAGGGAGGGUCCCUGAAAAAGAAGCCCCGGCAAACUACGUC
rnacentral:rRNA from 1 species